AUUGAACGCUGGCGGCAGGCCUAACACAUGCAAGUCGAGCGGAUGAAGGGAGCUUGCUCCUGGAUUCAGCGGCGGACGGGUGAGUAAUGCCUAGGAAUCUGCCUGGUAGUGGGGGAUAACGUCCGGAAACGGGCGCUAAUACCGCAUACGUCCUGAGGGAGAAAGUGGGGGAUCUUCGGACCUCACGCUAUCAGAUGAGCCUAGGUCGGAUUAGCUAGUUGGUGGGGUAAGGGCCUGCCAAGGCGACGAUCCGUAACUGGUCUGAGAGGAUGAUCAGUCACACUGGAACUGAGACACGGUCCAGACUCCUACGGGAGGCAGCAGUGGGGAAUAUUGGACAAUGGGCGAAAGCCUGAUCCAGCCAUGCCGCGUGUGUGAAGAAGGUCUUCGGAUUGUAAAGCACUUUAAGUUGGGAGGAAGGGCAGUAAGUUAAUACCUUGCUGUUUUGACGUUACCAACAGAAUAAGCACCGGCUAACUUCGUG
rnacentral:rRNA from 1 species